rnacentral:rRNA from 1 species
UACGGGGGGGGCAAGCGUUGUUCGGAAUUACUGGGCGUAAAGGGCUCGUAGGCGGCCAACUAAGUCAGACGUGAAAUCCCUCGGCUUAACCGGGGAACUGCGUCUGAUACUGGAUGGCUUGAGGUUGGGAGAGGGAUGCGGAAUUCCAGGUGUAGCGGUGAAAUGCGUAGAUAUCUGGAGGAACACCAAUAGCGAAGGCAGCUCGCUGGGACGGUACUGACGCUAAGGCGCGAAAGCGUGGGGAGCAAACAGG